UACGAGGGGGGCGAGCGUUGUUCGGAAUUAUUGGGCGUAAAGGGUGCGUAGGCGGUUCCGCAAGUCCUGUGUGAAAUCUUCGGGCUCAACUCGAAGUCUGCACGGGAAACUGCGGGGCUUGAGUCCGGGAGAGGAGAGUGGAAUUCCCGGUGUAGCGGUGAAAUGCGCAGAUAUCGGGAAGAACACCCGUGGCGAAGGCGGCUCUCUGGGACGGUACUGACGCUGAGACGCGAAAGCGUGGGGAGCGAACAGG
rnacentral:rRNA from 1 species